CUUCCCCCGGGGAUUCCACAUUGUCUGAAAGAGAACACAGCCUGUCUGGAACAUCUUCAUGCCAAUCACUGAGUUCAUCUAAAACCCCUAGGGCAGAAGGGAAUGAAUUCUUGAACCUUCUUUGCCUCUGAAGUUGCAGAGGUGGUCUGUUACAGACUGAGGGCCCCUAAACAGCCAGACCAGAACAGUCUUUGAGACCCACAUAAACUUCUUCCAGGUCUGUUCAUUCCCAAUUCAACUGCUAAGUGCAAGACUCUGGAUUAUGUGCAGUGGAAGUAUAUAGAAGCAAAAACUGCAGAUCUUGCCUGAUGGACCAAACAGUCUGAGACCAGAGGACCUACUGUUCCUACGGCUAAUUCAGUCAAAGAAACCAUUUGAUCUGCAUGUUGGACCAAAUGACCAGUGGUUUGACUGAGUUCACAGCCAUCGUGGCUGCUCUGGCGGUGUGUGUCCACCCAGGCUUUGUUUGUGUGCUGGCAGUCUCUGCACCGAGAACACACAGCAUAUGCCAGGUGGCCAUGUGUCUGAGGCAGAGGGAAGGGAGAACAAAGCAGAAAAAGCUUCCAUUUGGACAGAGAUGCUUUAAGCCAUCCGACUGCCAGUAACAUAUUAAAGAGAAAAGAAAAUGCAAUGAUGCCUGAAUAUACUCAACAGUAAACAACUUCAAGCCUGAGAUUCAGAUCACAAAUCUUCCUCUGCUGCUGCUGAUGAGCUCAGCUUGAGCGUGGCUGCAGGAGACAAAGAAACUUGAUCCAAGAGGAAAAUAAGAAGAGAUCUUCACACCAAUUUUAAUCUAUCUCAGAUAACUGGUCGCUCUCUUGCUGGUUCUCCAACAAGCGCUGUUUUCGCACCUGGAUGAGGACAUUUUGCCAUGUUGUGCUGGAUUGCUGUUUGUCUCUACGUGUGGCUCCUCCAGGGUUAGACUGUGUGAGCUGAAUCUUGACUUGUUUUUGACUGCCUUAUCCACGGACGCACCUGACAUACUUUCUCUCGGUGGAACAGCAAAUUGGAUUUUUCAAGAGCAGAUGAAAGCAAUUCAUGAGCUAAAUAUGGAUCACUUCAAACACAAUCACGAGCAAAUAUAGCAGACUUACCUGAAUCAAACAUCACUUCCAGUCAUCUCGGGGAUCUGGCCAUCCCAACAAGAGAUAGCAAAAGGAACAUAAAGGAGGAGGCAAUACAAGAUCCUGAUUGUAGAUACCACUAGUUUCCAGCUAGUAACUUCUCCUAAGUAUCAAGUAGACAUGUAGGUCCUUUUGGCUGUGGCACGUGGGACGCCACCACAGCAAGGCCUGAUGAGCAGUACCAAUGUCUGCACCCAGGAUCCAAACUGAUGAAACCCUGGGCCGCCGAAGCAGAGCGUGCUAACUUAACCACUCGGCCACGGGGCCGGCCCCAAAACUCUACAUUCUUAUGCAAUGACAAAGUUCAGUGUAACAAAUUGUGUGUACCAUUUAACAGAAAAGUUUUUCAGUUCCGAAUAUGUAAUGUUGAGGUCUAUAAAUAAACAUUGAUUUUU
rnacentral:lncRNA from 1 species